AUUGAACGCUGGCGGCAUGCUUUACACAUGCAAGUCGAACGGUAACAGGCCGCAAGGUGCUGACGAGUGGCGAACGGGUGAGUAAUGCAUCGGAGCGUGCCCAGUCGUGGGGGAUAACUACUCGAAAGAGUAGCUAAUACCGCAUACGAUCUAUGGAUGAAAGCGGGGGACCUUAAGGCCUCGCGCGAUUGGAGCGGCCGAUGUCAGAUUAGGUAGUUGGUGGGGUAAAGGCUCACCAAGCCAACGAUCUGUAGCUGGUCUGAGAGGACGACCAGCCACACUGGGACUGAGACACGGCCCAGACUCCUACGGGAGGCAGCAGUGGGGAAUUUUGGACAAUGGGCGCAAGCCUGAUCCAGCAAUGCCGCGUGCAGGAAGAAGGCCUUCGGGUUGUAAACUGCUUUUGUACGGAACGAAACGGCUCUGGUUAAUACCCGGGGCUAAUGACGGUACCGGAAGAAUAAGCACCGGCUAACUACGUG
rnacentral:rRNA from 1 species